rnacentral:lncRNA from 1 species
CUCAGACGAUGUAGGGAAAUCGCAGAUCUGCUGUGGGGCUCAGGGGCUUCACCCUGUGUCGGACUGUGAGUUAUCUGCGUGCUCUACCCGGGGGAGAACCUUGCCGGGAGAUGAAAGUAGGUCACCAGGCGGUGAAAGGGGCAGGAGACUUGACCGAGGAUAACGAGGCUUGAGAGCUGGGUUAAACCCGGGCGCCAGCGCUGUUGGUGCCGCUUCUACGAACAUGGUGACCCAGUUUGAAAAGGCUACUUUUUAAGAGACGACUUGGGGCAGAGAAAAUCUGCAUAAGUAGGAGUCAAAAAUCCAUCAAAACGAUGCUGAAACUCUGUUUGGUUUUGUUUUUUUGGUUUUUUGUUUUUGGCUGCACCCAUGACAUGCAGAAGUCAGAAGUUCCCAGGCAUUAAACCCAAAUCCACACCAUCUCAGUGACCCAAACCAUGACGUGAUAACUGCUGAGCUGCCAGGGGACCCCACUGAGUUCUUGACUGCAACACUGUAGCACUUCGGGGCUGGGCAGGAUUGUUCUGAAUGUUAAUCGAGAUAAGGUGCGUGAAGUAGGUGAGACCAUACCUAGCACAUGGAGAGGUAUUCAGUUGGAAGAGCCUUCACCCAUGAGGAGUACUGAAUAAAUAGACUUCGCCAUCAUUCUCCAAAGAGGUUGGGAAGGAACCACUCAUGAGGAAAGCCUGGAGGGUACAAAUUGUCAGAAUGAAGUAUGGUCCUUUGUUCAGAAUCAGAAGAGUUACCCACUCAAAUCAUAAAAUACCAGAUGAAGCUCACUUCACUAAGCAGGGGUGAGCAAAUGGAAAGAAGAAAGACAUGGUGACACUGAAAAUGCCCAAGAUGUAAUCUCUCCAGGUUAAAUGAAGGCCAAGUUCAUUUGGGAUCCCAGAGGUCAUACUUUUGCCAAAGUGUGCUUUGUAUUAGCACAGAAAAGAGUUAGAGCUUUUCUUCAAAAAUUAAAAUGAAAUAGAAUGAGAUUGAUAGGGUAAUGCAGAAUAAUCUGCCUGCGUUUAUGGCUGGUUAUUUAUACUUGAGUGUCAGGAGAGCAACUCAAAGUUAUUUAAUUAGGAGAGUGCAGAAACCAACCCAACAUCAUUAAAUAUAUUAUGAAAGAAAUAAACAUGAAUUAAAUAAUUGCAUUAUAUCUUAAGUGUGCUAUCCUUUGGAGAGGAAUGAGGUAGUUAUGCUCUUUGAUAAAGCCCUGAAGUCUCUGCUGUCCUCAUACAAGGAGUAGGCUGCUGACUCACUAUGAGCUUUGAGAACUUUUCCAGGAGAAAGAAUAGUUUUUUUGUUGCACAGUCCUCAUGAACUUGCCUGGUACCCCUGCUGAUUAAUGGCAUUUAUUCCCUCAGAGAGCUGCCUGAGGCUGAAGGCAGAGCUCUGACAUUGAGACAGAGCUAACCUAACUGGCUCUCAUGGGGAUUGAUCGCAUGCCUGACCUUUCACUAGUGUUCUAAGCAUUUGAGUUAACUGGGUGUGCCUCCCCUGCAAAUAGGUCUCAGCCAUUCCAUAAAGGGGAAGAUGGCAUUCUCAGAUAUUGGGUUUUGGGCACUGUACCUUUAAGACAAGUUAAGGUUUACUUUUAAAGCUGUGGGACCAUCUAAAGAGAAGCCCUGUAUGGUCAUAAACUAUUCAUGUAAGUUAUCAUGUUUCUAGUACUACCUACUUUCUAGUUCUCUUGCCUUGUUUCAUCACCACCCGUCUCAUCUUGACAACUUUGAUAUCAGACCUACCUUCAAUUUUUUUUCUUCCAUUCACUCUCUCAUCCUGGACAUGAUGCCUAGUCUUACUGAUUUGAUAUCUGACCUUGACUGGCCCUGACUCCCCUUUCCCUACUUGUAUUAGAGGUGGGUGUUGGCAUUAGGCAUGUUUGUCAGUAUCUCUUCUUGAUUCCAUCCCCUGCCCCCAUUUUUGGCUUUGCUCUUUUUGUGAAAACAUCUGUCACUCUAAGAGGUUCCACUCUGUGAUGCAAAGCUAAAGGCAGGACAGGGACUAAAAUGGCUCCAACAGAUGAAGUCUGAUAUAUUGUAAGCCUGAGAGAACCAUACUCUAUCAUCUUGGCACCCACGCUGCAAGAGGGGUAGUGCAUCUUCAUAUAGCUCAGAGAACUCUGAACCAAAGAGGUCAUUGCACCCAUUUCAGACUGUACCUCAACUGUGUCUCUUUCUUGAGAAAAAACAGAUGUGCCACUAUGCAUCGUUCAGGGUGAUCCAAUAGAAUAUCAAGUGUUUCAAAGUUAAGCAGACUUGAGAUUGGAUCUGGCUCUCCUCCUUGCUGUGUCAUCCUAGCAAACUGUGUCAUCUCAGUUGAGCUUCUUAACUUCUCUAAGCCUCAGUUUUUUCAUCUAUAAAAUGGGGACAUUAUAUCUACUUUAUAUUGUCAUUGCAAGAGAUAAAAGAAGUAAUGUACAUAAAAUACAGAAUAUUGCAUAUGGUGUUUAAUAAGGAGGAUUUACUACUUAUUAUUAUUAUUACCAUUAUUGCCAUGAUAAGGUCCUAAUGCUUAAAUUCUGGCAAGAAUUGGGAAACUUUCAAAUAUUCAGGCAGCUCAUUUCUUGAGCAAUGGGCCACAGGUUUCUUCCUGUACUAGGCUGGUUGAUCAGUGUUGUAAGCCACCAGUUGGCUUCCUGCCUGAACUUUUAAUCUUGUCCCCAUCUCAAUUUAAAGAGGGUGAGAAAGCAGAGACAUCAAUCGUUUCCUUGUCAAGGACAACAGCCUCUUCCUUCUUCCUUAGUUCUCUCCUGGGGCCCCAUCCACCCUGUGCCAAGGGAGGGGGCUCUCGCUGAAUACAAAUCGCCACGUGGUGGGGAGGCUUUGUGCCUCCACGGGAGCCUGGAGCACUUUCAGUGUCUGUGUAAGGCUGUGAUGAGUCCAAUCCAGUCCUCCCACCCCUCCUUGGGUUAAGUGCCCUGCCGCGUUCCCUAGUUUCUCUGUGUAGUGAUGUAACCAUGAGCAUGGCAGUUACCCAAGGUACUGGGACACAGACUUUAUUGAUUUGUUCUUCUAAUGCAUUAGGAGGAAACAGGAAACCUCAGGAAGGUCACAAACGACAAUUGUGCAUUGACUAGCACAGACAUUUCCUUCAUUCAGGAAAGCACGACUCAAGUGGCCUUGCUGUCAGAAAGGAAAGGAGACCAUAGACACGUGACUCAAAAAUGAAGAUGAUAAGCCUGGGCUGUAUCCGAAGGAAUCAGAAAGGACUGAAGUACCUCAUGCUCAAGCUCAGACUUGAGGGAGAGUCUUUGUUCAGUUACUGGCAAGGCCAGAUGCUCAAUCAAUGUAGCUAAACAAUAGGAUGAAGAAAUAAACUAGGCAGGAGUGUUCUCCUUAGGUCUUUGCUCUGUUGGUUCUCUAAGCAGCUCUCUAGCAUUCUCCCACCUGAUCCUGUGGUGACUUGUCCUUUCCAUCUCACCUUCAUGAUUUUUAAAGCUGAGAGUGCCAGGCAACUUUCCAUGCUUUCUCACUGCUCUCCCCAGGCUUCUCCUCCUCAUGAUCUCCCUUGGAGUCAUCCAUCAUUGAAAACUCACAGCAUGUUUGAAGUUGCCCUCACCGUCCCGUACCCUCUUUCCUUCCAGACCUGUGUUCUGAAUGUUUGGGGUCUGCCUCCCAUAUGUCUAGGUCGGCCUUGUCUUCCAUGUGGAGUCUAAGAGAUGAAAUCUUCUUUUGAGGAUUCUGGUUAUUCCAACUUUAUCAACCAAUUCUUGUUUUCCAGAGAGAAAUUAUUCCAAAAUAUCUGCUCCCCGUGUCAGUCCUCUAUCUUCUGAGAAAUGAAAUCUUCUGCAAAAUCAAGCCUUUCCAAAUGGUUGGCCUUUAAUCAUUUCAGGAAAUUCUGGAUAGGAUGCUAAGUUCCCUUCUAACCCCGUAAGUCUAUAUAAUUAAAGCCAAGUCUUUAGUCCAGGACUCAGUAGAAUAUUUACAUUUUUUUCUAGAAACAGUUUCAUACUGAUUACUAGAAACUGAAAAAUUACAGAGUUCCAAGAAGAGAUGUGCCUUCAAACUGUACUUUUGUUUAGGCUUUUGUGGGUUCUGUAUGGACAUUUAGUCUUUAAUCCUUGUUUGAGCAGCCAGUUGAAAUUUAAUCUUGGCAGCGAGAGAAGCAACAGAUAAGUGGUAUCUCUGACAAAUGACAUAUUGCGAGAGUUGACUCUUGGUCAUUGUGGAGACCAGGUAAGGACAGCCCAAGGCUUCUGUGGAGCUCACAUUUUCACACAAGCAUGAUUCCUCUCCCAACUCUGCCAGUCCCUCUCUCCAUAAUGUAGGCACAAGACAUAAAUGUUGUGGGCCACAGUAGACACAUGUUUCAAAAGGAUUGCUAAUAAACUAAUUUGGAGUUGCUUUGAAGAUUAAAUGAGACGGUGGAUUGUAAAUAGCUUAGCACAUGGUAAAUGCUCAAUGAACAUGUGUUUUUUUCUCCAAGGCUCCCUAAGAUGUCUAGCCAUUGGAAUGUAGUUUGAGUCCUAGAAUAAAAGAGCUAACAUUUCUUAACCACUAACGGUGUGCCAGGUAAUGUGUUAAGCAAUUUGAAAGUAGUAUUUUAUAUAUCUAGAUACAAUUAUUGUAUUUAUUUCUCAGACAAGAAGAGUCAAGCUCAGGGGGAUUAAAGAACUUUCCUUACAUUAUACAGCUAAUCACUAAUAAGAUUCACAUCUUGGACUUUCUCACUCCAGAACUCAUUCUCUCAAUCGCUUUGUUGUAAGGGCAUUUUAGAAUGAAAAAUCAGUGCUAUGACUUUAAUAAGCUAAAAAAACAAAAAAUAAACAAACAAAAAAACCCAGGGUAGAGUCCCUGGGGGAAUAUGGGUUGGAGGGUAGAGGUGGAAAUGCAGUAAAAUAAUAGAUUCCAGUAUCGAUCUAGUGAGCCAGGCUGAGGAGAAGGAGAUUAGUAGGAUUUGUAAAGUUGUUAUUAGUGUUUGCCAAAGAUGUUUGCCAUCUCCCACAUUCUUCUUGGGAAUGCAGCCUUUUGAAUAUAUUUCUGGAAAACAAGAGCACACCAAAAAAUCCUUCUUUUCUUCUUUCCCUUCUGAAAUUUUAAAAUCUUUUCAGCAUGGGGCACCACACCAGGUACUGAGGGUACAGAGGUAUGGAAAAUUAGGUGAGAUUUUAUAUUUGAUAUGUUUGAAUUACAGGUGCAGCACGUUCGAUCUGGAAAGGAAAGCCGGGGCAAGAUGUGGAUGAAUGUUGAGUCUACACUGAGGCAUCUUGGCUUGGACACCGUCCUUAUACACGGAGUUAUUUAGAAGGGCAGUGUUGUAAGUGCUGCCAUUUCCACAACUCACUUUGGACCAGUGAUGAUGCUAAAGUUUGUCCCUUAGUGACACCAAGAGGUUCAAGGAUGUGUUGAGAUGAAUACUCUAAAUUUGCAGGUGAAAAGUUUUGUCUCAUGCACAUAUGAGUUUGUUUUCUGAGGAGUAUGUCUAUAGCUUCAUUCUCAAGGGGUCAGUGACAGAAAAUGAUUGAAGUCAAAUACCAGUUAUUUCCAGAGGAAGAAAAAUGUGAGGAAAAUAUGUGAAGGUUGGUGAAGAAUACAGUCAAGAGAUGGGAUAAGCUGAGAUAGUGGCCAUGGGGAUGGAGCCAGCAGGUACCUGGGAUUGACCAUCAGUCAGCUAGAAGGUCAGAGAGAAGAAGGAUGAAGCUUCAAUGUCUCUUGAUAUUCUAGCCUAAGAGAUGGGUUAAUUCACCAAGAGGCGAAAUAUAAGUGAGGCUAUAGGCUUGGGCAGAGGCUAUAAACUUGUUUGGAGUAAUAAAUUUAGUAUCCGUUAUUGUAUGGAUUACUCUUUGAACUGAGAUUGCGGUGGUACUGUUUUUCUCUAUGAAGCUUAAAACUUGUAACAGGAAGUAUAAUUUAACUCAUUGCCAUACCAGGCAAGUCAGGGGGAACAUGCUGCUUUAAGAUUUGUCUUUCAAACACAAAAAGGACUGUUUUCAACUUACCGUUCCAAAAGGGGACAGUUUGAGGGGAGGGGCGGAUUGGGGCUGUGGGACUGGCAUAUGCACACGGUGGUAUAUGGAAGGGUUGGCCAAUAGGGACCUGCUGUAUAGCACAGGGACCUCUACCCAAUAUUCUGUGAUGUUGUAUGUGGAAAAAGAACCUGAAAAAGAAUGGAUGUGUAUAACUGACUCACUUUGUUGUAUAGCAAAAAUUACCACAACAUUGUAAAUCAACUAUACUUCAAUAAAACUUAAAAA